rnacentral:rRNA from 1 species
AACGAACGCUGGCGGCAGGCUUAACACAUGCAAGUCGAGCGCAGGAAAUCGACGGAACCCUUCGGGGGGAAGUCGAUGGAAUGAGCGGCGGACGGGUGAGUAACACGUAAAGAACCUGCCCUCAGGUCUGGGAUAACCACGAGAAAUCGGGGCUAAUACCGGAUGGGUCAUCGGACCGCAUGGUCCGAGGAUGAAAGGCGCUUCGGCGUCGCCUGGGGAUGGCUUUGCGGUGCAUUAGCUAGUUGGUGGGGUAAUGGCCCACCAAGGCGACGAUGCAUAGCCGACCUGAGAGGGUGAUCGGCCACACUGGGACUGAGACACGGCCCAGACUCCUACGGGAGGCAGCAGUAGGGAAUCUUCCACAAUGGACGAAAGUCUGAUGGAGCAACGCCGCGUGAACGAUGAAGGCCUUCGGGUCGUAAAGUUCUGUUGUAAGGGAAGAACAAGUGCAGCAGGCAAUGGCGGCACCUUGACGGUACCUUGCGAGAAAGCCACGGCUAACUACGUGCCAGCCGCCGCAGUAACAC